rnacentral:lncRNA from 1 species
GAGCCAGGUAGCUUGAGCACUGCGUCGUACUUAACCAGUCUUACCAGUAGUUAUUUCCUCCAGGGACGUUGGUAGCUAUCGUAGGUCUAUUUAUUUAUUUAUUUAUUUAUUUAUUUAUUUAUUUAUUUAUUUAUUUAUUUAUUUUGGAGGCAGGGUCUCACUAUGUAGCUCUGGAUAUCCUAGAACUUGCUAUGGAGAUCAGACUGGCCUUUAGCUUAUGAAAAUCUGCCUGUCUCUGAUUCUGGCUCUGCCUCUCCAGAUUGCACCAUCACUACCAGUUGGUAGAUAUUUUAAAAUUAUUAUUAUUAUUAUUAUUAUUUCAAGUGAACGUGGCGUGCAGUGAGCGUGCAUGUGGGUCUGGGGUUCAAGGCCGACACAGACGUCAGGCUUGGGCAGCACCUGUUCCCUCGUCUCACCAGCCACUUGUGCACUUGUUUGUCCCACAUUGGGUGAAGCCUAGUGCACAGAACAGUCCCACAAGAACAAAGAAUCAGUGACCACAUGUGUCACCAGCUGGGAGACAUAGCAACACUGCCUUGGUGAGGGACGCUUUUGCGGGCCUUGCCUCGUGCUCUCUUCAGGAUGUCCCUUGUCUCUGCUGGUGACCGGGCUACUCAAGCCACCUGUGAAUUUCUUAAAGCUGUUUCCAAUGCUCUGACUAUUUGUGGGUGUUGGGCUGUGAACCCCACUUCCAGUGUACAAAUCACAAUGUAAGGAGGACUCAUUUCUAUGAAAGCCACUUUUCCUCAAACCCUGUGACCAAGACUGGACAGUGUCUCCAAAGAGGUUUCAACUAAUGGGACAGAUGAACUGAUAGGAUAGGGGAGCCUGGCCGUCCUGUGGCGUGUGAAGUUUACAGAAACCGGGUUCUAAGCUGUGCGAUGUCACUUGUAUGUGAAGUCCGACCACAAGUGCACACCAGGCACUUUCUUUUUUACCUGGGUAAAGUGUCUGUCACUCACACUACCUGGUUGCAGUUGACUUGGCGCCCUCUGCCUCUGACCACAUGCAUAGCAUAGCCAAUUAGAAUGUGGUUUCCCAUGGCCUUAGCUGGAACCCACAGAUAAUGGCCAGGAUGGCGGUGGUACACUGGUGUAGUCCUCAGAGUAGGAGAACUGCUGGGUGACAAGUUAAGUUGUGUGUGUGAAACCUGACUUUUAGGUUUGCAUCUGGGCAUGGGAGAGGUAGAGUGUAGGGUCAAUGUGCUGGACCCUAUCUGCAGGGCCAAAGGGAGCUCUAUGGGGGGGCUGUACUUUCUUUGAGCACAAAAGCUCUUGCUUCUUAGGGCAGUAAUCCUCUGUGUAUUGCCAACCAGAGAGAUGCAGCCAAUGUAGCUGUCCCUACCCUGAGGUGGGCCAGCUUUCUCUCAUUCAUUUGUGGUUCCAUGGCUUAUAAAGUAGGCCUUGCACACAGAUCUCUGGGCAGAGUUUCAAAUACAUGACUUUCUUUUAAAUUAAACACCACACACACAUUUGCUGUUCUCUCUGCUUGCAUGUGUUCAUCCGUACUCUGUCUGUUCAAGCCAUGCUCUGCCCAGAAGUGUUUGUAGCCAUGUGGGACAGUAACCGAGGGUGAUGGUACCAAAGCCACCAGCUAAUAUUAGAUUUUAUAACUCAGAGAUUCAUUAAUAUAAUUACUCACAUGCCAGCCUGACUUGGCAAGAACUCUUGAAUUGUAUUCCUCUUCUACAAAGUGCUCUGGCUGUAGGGAUGCCCUGGUGAGGCUGAGCCUGUGCCUCUGUAGACAGAAGGUAUGCCUUAUCUUCCUUAGCACAGUUCCCCUGGGAGAGCCAGGUGCUCCCAUGGUGACCAGGCCUGACUUUCUGUGUCUUGCCAGGAGAUUGGCACCUUGGAGAGUCUCUGGCAGAUGCGGCGGUCCACUGGGGGACCCAACUCUGCAAGUGGCACUGGGCUUGGGUGGGUGAUUUUCCUCCCAGGUGACUCUUGCACAUAGUAGUAUAGGAUUCUCUUGGAGCUGGGGGAUUAUUUUCAAUUCUCUGCCUCUGUGCGUAGUUCUUUACAGCUCACGAGCCCGUUUUGAAUACGACCUCGCCUUCAAACAGGGGGACCACUGGCAGCCUGUCCUUAAGACAGCAGCAUGUCCGGCCUUCAACGGUAUAAAAAUCAGGAGAAGGCCUGAGAAACAAGGGCAGUCAAGGUAUGGAGCAGAGCAGGAGCACUGCCUCGGAAGGAAGUGCCAUGAGGGAGGAGCCUGCUGUGGACUGAGAAGCUGUGGGAUUGUGGGUGAAAGGAAGCUGCUCUCUCAAAAUGCCUCUCUUUAUUGUUUAUAUGAAUGAGAUGUCAGAGAAACAGAGGGAACCAGCCUUCCCCUCGGCCCUUCUACACUGUUCCAGGUGUGUAGCAAUGGCUCGGUGUGUGUUCUCUGGCCCCGGAUCGGUCGUCCCCACCCUCACCCAGGGCAUCCUGUCACCACAAAAUAUUAUCUUUGCAGGUAGAUACCUUCUAACUGUAGAACAGAUAUCAUCUCCAGUCCCCGUCCUCUCUAGACUCAGCCCUUGGGACCUCCCCUGCCAGUCUCACCCCCAUGCCAGAUCUGUUUGGAUUAGCUAGCCCUGGGCCCAGCAGAACAUUUGCUUUCUGCUCAGUGGCUCCUCCUGGCCUCCUGUUCCCUGCUGGGAAGCCCAGUCCUUCAGGCUCCUCCUCCUGCACUUUUCCGUAGGAACCCCUCUAAGCCAGGACCUCCCUGGUCAAAGAUGACUGUUGUCCCUUAGCUGGGACAUAUGCUCCCUGCUCUGGAGGCUGGGUUUGGCUAUUAAUUAUGGAAGGAAUGUGAGCGGGGAGGAAGGUUAUGCCUCACACGCUCGCUCGCUCGCUCGCUCCACCCAUACACAGUUACUUCUCCAAGUCAACCUCACAAGGGACCCUGCUGCCCCUCCCUUGCCCGGACCUUAAGGUUCCCCGUAUUGGCUUUAAGACUCUCCAGGAGACAUUUCUUUCCUUUUCGCCUGGUCCUGAACUGCCUUCCUCAGCCUCAUGUGUUCAUCCCUGACUUUACAGACCUGACUUUUCUUUCAAAGUAUUUGUUGCUUAGUGGAAGGGCAGCAAGGGACCACUGGAUGCCUGAGGCAUGGACCUAACACUGUGACUGGAAUUUAAGGGUGUUUUUCUCUAGGAGUUUUUGUUUGUUUGUUUGUUUUGUUUGUUUUGCCAUUAGGGAUGAAGUCUCUCAGAGAACAGAAAACAAGUUCCAUAGACCUCAGGUAAGAUUGGCUAACCCUGCAGGUUCAAGGAUUUGCCUAUGAGUCCUGGAGAGAGUGCCACAUGCUCGAGACUUCUUGUCUAUUUACUCCAUUCAUCCAUCUAUCAUUUGUCUGUCUGUCUGUCUGUCUGUCUGUCUGUCUGUCUGUCUUUCAUCUCUCAUUUUAUUUCUUAAAAUGUAAACAAUUUUUAUAUUACUGAUUUUAUUGCAUAUCUAUUUAGUGUUUUACGUGCCUGCGAGUAUUUGCACCAUGUAUGUUGUGCCUGCUACCUACAGAGGGCAAGUGAAGGUGUCAGAUUCCCUUGAAACUUGAAGCACAGAUGUGAGCUGUCACGUAGGUGCUAGGACUUGAACCUGGAUCUUCUGCAAGAACAUGCAGUGCUCUGUACCCAGAGCCUUCGUUCCAGCGCCUUCUUUCUUAAGACUUUUUGUUGUUGUUGUUUGAUUUUUGGGGGGUGAUGGAGCUUGAUAUUGGAUCUCACGCUGUAGCCCAGGCUGACUUUGAACUUGUGGCCGUUCUCUGCCUUGGAGUGCUGGGACUGUAAAUGUGUGGCUGUUUUUAAAAGUAAUUUUCUGAAGCUGGACAGUAGUGACACACACCUUUGAUCCCAGCACUAGGGAAGCAGAGGCAGGAGGGUCUCUGUGAGUUCAAGGCCAGUGUGGUCUACAGAGAGAGUUCCAAGACAUCUAGCUACAUAGUGAGACCCUUUCUCAAACAAACAAAACAAAG